AGCCUGUGAUGAUCCCUUUUUUCUGACACCUCGUAUGAGUACAUGUGUUGUACCUGAUUACAGUUUCUUACUGAGGCUU